rnacentral:rRNA from 1 species
UCGGGAACUUUAAGGAUACUGCCAGUGACAAACUGGAGGAAGGCGGGGACGACGUCAAGUCAUCAUGGCCCUUACGGCCAGGGCUACACACGUGCUACAAUGGUCGGUACAAAGGGUUGCUACCUAGCGAUAGGAUGCUAAUCUCAAAAAGCCGAUCGUAGUCCGGAUUGGAGUCUGCAACUCGACUCCAUGAAGUCGGAAUCGCUAGUAAUCGCGGAUCAGAAUGCCGCGGUGAAUACGUUCCCGGGCCUUGUACACACCGCCCGUCACACCAUGGGAGUUUGUUGCACCAGAAGUAGCUAGCCUAACUGCAAAGAGGGCGGUUACCACGGUGUGGCCGAUGACUGGGGUGAAGUCGUAACAAGGUAGCCGUAGGGGAACCUGCGGCUGGAUCACCUCCUUAACGAA